AACCGUGAAGCUGGGAAAGCAACCAAUCCAUACUAUGGUAGAUCCAUUAUAGAGGAUUACCAAACAUAAAUAAAAAAGAAAUAAAAUAGUCGGUACAUAGAGUUAAUAUCAUUCCCAAACGAGAAACAGAAGUACCGAUCAUACAGUUUCUUUUGGAAGUGAGGCAAAAAAUCUGUCAAGCUUUUUUUUGAAAGUGUUAAUGUUGACAAUAUCUGGUACAUUUCUACCGAUGGUAAUGAUAUCUAGUGGUAACGAAUUCUAAUCAACAGCCACACAGUUACAUAAAAAAGUUUAUCAUUGUUUUUCUAUACAACAUCGUGUUAGAGAAAAAGAUUCUCUUGAAGUAUCUUGGGAACGUGCACAAGUAGUACAAAUUGAUCAAUUAAAUGCUAACGAACUACAUACGUUGUUGGCAUGAUAACAAACCUGAUGAAAUUCUCGUAACCAUAAAAUGGUAGCAGAGGGUAGUUACAUUUAAUAAUAGUUAAUCGUUUUAUCGCCAUUGUUUCGAAAUUUACUGAAAUCACGAAAUCAAAGAAGAACUUUAAUAAAGUAAAAACCAUGGGUAGAAACAAAAAAAAUAAAAAAACAACCGUCGGAAGAAGAAUCAACAAAUAAUAAUGAUGUCGAUAUAUUUAUGGUGUCACUUAAACAAAAGAAAACAAUAACAAAGACUCACUUAAUGAAAACAAACUAUAAACUGUUGCAGUUAUUCGAUGAUAAUAUGUUUAGCCCAUGUGAGUUUAAAGAACAUCAAAAGUAUAUGAAAAUCAACAUCAGGCAGUAAUCGAAUUGUUAACACAGUUAUCCUAACAGUACGAAAUUAUAGAAAAUGCUGAUAAAAUGUGUAUAGUAGUUGACGAAAUCGACAUAGAAUCCACUUAAGUUAUGGAUAAAUAAAUAAACAUUUAUUCAGUAGAAAAGGCAGUUCUUCAAGCAUUACACCAGCUGUUUCAUCUUAUGUUGAAAUAUUGCAGCGAAAAGAAAUACAAAAUCAAGACUAUUUUCGAGAAGCAGAAUGCUUAAACGUAAAACUCAAAGCUACUUUCAACUCCAAAUUUAAACCCUGAAGCAAAAGGAUUUUUGAAGAUUUUGGUCUGAGAGUUAAUGAACCAAGAGCUGGCAAAUCAGGAACUAGCGAUACCGAAAAUUUAUGCCUUAUUUCGACCCUCUAUUACUCAGCAAAAUUUUAUAAAUUGAUGAAGAAAUUAUUGUCAGAUUAUAUAACUUUCUACUUGCAAAGACCCAAUUGAUCCGGAAAAAUUAAUAAAUUCUGCAAUGAUACAUAUAAGAAGUUGUUAGAGACAUUUGAUUGGUUCAAGGUCCCAGCUUCCGUUCAAAAAGUAUUAGCUCAUGCUGGGGAAAUUAUAAUUAUUUCACCAGUUCACUUACUUUAAUGGGAGAGGAAGCAAUUGUAUUUCGACACAAAAUUUAUAAAUUUGAUCGUGAACAUUAUGCAAGGUAAAAGAAUAGAAAAACAAACUUAUUUGACAUUUUUGUUCGAGGUAUACAUACUUCUGAUCCCUUAAUUAGUUCAGUCUCAUUAACUUAAAGAUUGAAAAGUAAGAAAAUAUUGCGCCUACCGGAAAAAGUUAAAAGUUUGUUAGCAGUUUAUAGCAAUGUUAGAGAAAAUUUAUCUGGCAUGGAAUCAGAUGAAAUUAAUGACUUCGAUGAAUCAUAUUUAAAUGUUUCAGGGUUAUUCAUUCUUAUAUGCGCGUCUAUUUAU